GACGAACGCUGGCGGCGUGCUUAACACAUGCAAGUCGAACGGAAAGGCCCUGCUUUUGUGGGGUGCUCGAGUGGCGAACGGGUGAGUAACACGUGAGUAACCUGCCCUUGACUUUGGGAUAACUUCAGGAAACUGGGGCUAAUACCGGAUAGGAGCUCCUGCUGCAUGGUGGGGGUUGGAAAGUUUCGGCGGUUGGGGAUGGACUCGCGGCUUAUCAGCUUGUUGGUGGGGUAGUGGCUUACCAAGGCUUUGCCGGGUAGCCGGCCUGAGAGGGUGACCGGCCACAUGGGGACUGAGAGACGGCCCAGACUCCUACGGGAGGCAGCGGUGGGGAAUAUUGCACAAGGGGCGGAAGCCUGAUGCAGCAACGCCGCGUGCGGGAUGACGGCCUUCGGGUUGUAAACCGCUUUCGCCUGUGACGAAGCGUGAGUGACGGUAAUGGGUAAAGAAGCACCGGCUAACUACGU
rnacentral:rRNA from 1 species